GUCCAGGGGCGGGAAACGAACCCACGACCUUCCGCUUACCGGGCAGAUGCCAUGUCCACUAGGCUACCCUGGA
rnacentral:tRNA from 1 species